rnacentral:lncRNA from 1 species
UCUCGAACAACCAAUUAAGAUGCAGAUUGGAUCAAGCACAUAUGCGGAUGACCUCAAGUAUGAUAAUGACAAUGAACAAUUGAAGCACGUGGUGAAUAUUGAUGGAUGGUGGUGGGCGACAACGGAAGGGAUGACGGCAGCGUGGUGGUGGUAUAUGGCAGCAACGAUGAGGAUGGUGCGGCGGCGGCGUGACAACUUGUGAACAGAACUCGAAACUCUAAAAGACUAGACGCUAAGACCAGCAACUUGACACGACGAUGCAACCGAUAAUUCAACUAUGCAAGCACUAAAAAGAAAAUUGCAAAGGCUCAACCUGGCUUGGACAAAGGAUGACUAGAUCUAACUCUUUUAUCUGGUUUUUUCUGGGGUAAUAGGUAAGAAAAAUAAACCUAAUCUAGGGAUAACUGGAAAUUCUCACCGAGCAACCUGAAAACUGAUACCACUUGUUAUAGCACUUGAUAGAGGCGAGGAUGUCCCGAUCUUUCGAUGAGAUGGUGGCUAUCGAUUUGGUGGAGAUGACUUUGACGAUCCGACUACAAACGUGCACGAUGUUGCGUCUUAGCAAUCGCUAAACCAACUCCAAGAGGUUAUUGACCACGCCGGAGCACGAUCAACCUGACCACGAAGGUCUCUUCCUGCAAGCAAUCGAAAUACAAGCAAGAAUAUGAUAAAAGCAAUCUGAAUAUUGCGAAUAUAGAUGAAGUAUUGAUAAGGGUGGGGAUCCGAAAGCGGNN